UACGAAGGGGGCUAGCGUUGCUCGGAAUUACUGGGCGUAAAGCGCACGUAGGCGGAUUGUUAAGUCGGGGGUGAAAUCCUGGAGCUCAACUCCAGAACUGCCUUUGAUACUGGCGAUCUUGAGUUCGAGAGAGGUGAGUGGAACUGCGAGUGUAGAGGUGAAAUUCGUAGAUAUUCGCAAGAACACCAGUGGCGAAGGCGGCUCACUGGCUCGAUACUGACGCUGAGGUGCGAAAGCGUGGGGAGCAAACAGG
rnacentral:rRNA from 1 species